rnacentral:rRNA from 1 species
GAGCUUGCUCCCGGAUGUUAGCGGCGGACGGGUGAGUAACACGUGGGUAACCUGCCUGUAAGACUGGGAUAACUCCGGGAAACCGGAGCUAAUACCGGAUAGUUCCUUGAACCGCAUGGUUCAAGGAUGAAAGACGGUUUCGGCUGUCACUUACAGAUGGACCCGCGGCGCAUUAGCUAGUUGGUGAGGUAACGGCUCACCAAGGCGACGAUGCGUAGCCGACCUGAGAGGGUGAUCGGCCACACUGGGACUGAGACACGGCCCAGACUCCUACGGGAGGCAGCAGUAGGGAAUCUUCCGCAAUGGACGAAAGUCUGACGGAGCAACGCCGCGUGAGUGAUGAAGGUUUUCGGAUCGUAAAGCUCUGUUGUUAGGGAAGAACAAGUGCAAGAGUAACUGCUUGCACCUUGACGGUACCUAACCAGAAAGCCACGGCUAACUACGUGCCAGCAGCCGCGGUAAUACGUAGGUGGCAAGCGUUGUCCGGAAUUAUUGGGCGUAAAGGGCUCGCAGGCGGUUUCUUAAGUCUGAUGUGAAAGCCCCCGGCUCAACCGGGGAGGGUCAUUGGAAACUGGGAAACUUGAGUGCAGAAGAGGAGAGUGGAAUUCCACGUGUAGCGGUGAAAUGCGUAGAGAUGUGGAGGAACACCAGUGGCGAAGGCGACUCUCUGGUCUGUAACUGACGCUGA